CACAAAUUGAGAUUUGACCAAUACUGAUAACAAAAAAGUCUCAAGGUAUAAACUCAUAGUGCUAUCAAACUUUUCAAGUAAAGGGUCAGUGGGUUUCUUGGUAGAUUUGCAUGAGGACAGUUUCUGAUGAAGAUGAAGAAAGAGUCAGGAGCCGAGGUGGGUUUGGCUGGACCUGGCAGUGGACUGGACGGAUAGGACACUCAUGUCGUGGAUGCUCAUCCCUGCAGCAGUGCCAGCAAACUGUAGCGUCAGUGUCAUUUGGUCCUGUCCUCAGCAAGCACAGCUUGCUGCUCAUCGUGCUGUUCACCAUCACAGGAAAGGACAUUUUCUCUGCUUGGUGCUGUCAGGUUGCACAUUGAAGCAACUAAUUGUAUGGAAUAGGCAUUGUGUAAGGUUAGAAGAAACCUGACUCUCUGAAAGGUUUCAGAGGGGAGGUUUUGGCACCAUAGAACCCAUGACUGGGAAAUGAUUGUAUUAGCUAGCUGUAUCUCCUCUAGAUACAAAUUGCAUCCAGCUGCCUGGCCAACAAAAGGGUGAAAAGAGGAGGAAUGCUGACCACACCUUUCCUCAAGCUGUUGAUUCCCUUUUCUUUUUUUCUUUUUCUUUUUUUUUUUCUUCUUUUUUAUUUUCUGCUGAGACAAGGCAGGAAACACAAUUUAAGUUGCCAGGGUGUUGAUACACACUGGCUGUGGUCUCCAGCUCAUUACUGUGGUCAGAGAAGUGCUUGCGGUGAGAUAUUUCACUCACUCCAGAGAAACUACAUACAUCAAAGCCCUUCCCCAAAGCCAUAUGGAAGUAGGAUUAAGGACCAUAGUGAUAUUCAGUGGCCUCAGACAAGAUGGAGACGAGACCCACUGUCUGCAACUGCAGCAGGAGGCAGCCAGGAGAGUUUGCUGUGUGCUACUGACAGACUGGACAAAGAAAAUAGUCUUGUUCUCUUUUUGCACGUGGGCAACAAUGGGUUAAAUGAUUUCCCAGAGGUCACACAAAAUGUCAGCAGAAGAGGGAGAACAAAGCUUACCCUUCCUGAGUCCAGCACUACACUUCCAGUCUAA
rnacentral:lncRNA from 1 species